rnacentral:lncRNA from 10 species
GAGGAGGCGCCACUCAGUGGCCUGAAAGGAGGAAGAGGAGCCAGAGAGGGAGAACCAAUCAGGAAAAGAGGAUGCAGCAGGCUGGGAUUGUUCUUGCAAGGGAAACUGAAGCUUUAGUCUGGGCAGGCAGCGAGCUGGACUGGUAUCGGAGGAAAAGAAGUCUCUACUUUGGCCGCUGCUGUCUGAGUGUGUCUCCCAGCACCAUAAGGCAGGCACAGCCAGAUGGACUGCCGUUGGUUGCAAGCCUGGAAGAGUCAGAAAGAAACCUGAGGCUGUCAAGGAAGCUUGAAGGAUUGCUUAGAGGAUUAACCCUAAAACUAUGGAGACACUGAGGAACCCAGUCCCUUUUCCUGUCACGCAGUGCUCGAUAGUCUUGGCUGAUGUUAGAUAUCCUUUCUGUGCACUUUGGUUUCUUUCCUAGGAGAAUAUAAUGGGGAAAGGUAGAGGGCGAAGAUGAAUCUAGAGUCAGGAGUGUUGGGUUCUCAGCUACUAACCACCUGCUUACCAAGGCAGGUCGGUCUCGCCCUCACAGUCUCAUUUCUAAAAUUUAAAGGCGGGGGUGAGGUAUGACUUUCCUUCCAGCUUUAUAAUUCUGUUUCCAAGGAAUUCCACCUGUUCUUCUCAUUGGCUUAUCCCAGUGUAUUAGUCUGUUUUCAUGCUGCUGAUAAAGAAAUAGUUGAGACUGGGCAAUUUACAAAAGAAAGAUGUUUAAUUGGACUUAUAGUUCUACGUGGCUGGGGAAGCCUCACAAUCAUGGUGGAAGGCAAGGAGGAGCAAGUCACAUCGUACAUGGAUGGUGGCAGGCAAACAGUGUGAGCUUAUGCAGGCAAACUCCAGUUUUUUAAAACCGUCAGAUCUCAUGAGCAUCAUUCACUAUCAUGAGAACAGCACAGGAAAGACCCACCCCCCAUAAUUCAAUCGCCUCCCACCGGGUUCCUCCCAUGACAUGUGGGAAUUGUGAGAGUUACAAUUCAAGAUGAGAUUUGGGUGCGGACACAGCCAAACCGUAUCACCGGCAUUUAUUUUCUCUGAGGUUUAAGAAAUUUCUCCUCUUAUCUGACUGUAAAUCUUUCUCAUUAGUUAAAAUCCACUUCUUUUUCUGCUUUUGUGUGAAAACAAUAGGUUGGUGGCCCAUUUUAUAGACUCAGAAACUGAGGCACAUUGAGAACCAUCUGCUCUCCAGACGGAACAACCCCAGUCCCUUUAAUAUGCCCUUGCAUUGGCCUUUCACUUCCCUGUGACCCCUGCCCACUGCCUGUCCCAGGAAUCUCCACCUCUCCUGCAUUUAGACACCACGUGGGUCACUCCUGCCAGCCAGGCACAGAGCUCGGCCCCUCAGAUCUGUCUAAUACUCUCAGUGCCUGUAGGGAAGCAGAUCUUGUUACAUAUCUUGUUUUCCAGCUAGAGAAGCAGGCUCCUGGAACCUGGACUGAGGGUGGAGUGAGGUUCCAAUAGGUAACUUGUGAGACCCCCUAAUGUGGUGAGGCAGAGCCCCAGACCCUGCAACCCUUUGGGGGUCAGCCUUUCCUGGAGAAAAACUUUCCCCCAG